GCUAAUUCCCCGCUACCGGGUUGCGGCCGGAAGCCGGGCGCCGCGGCUCUGCUUCCCUCGGGGAUCUGGCGACAUGGCCAGAAAGGCUCUCAAGCUUGCUUCGUGGACCAGCAUGGCUCUUGCUGCCUCUGGCAUCUACUUCUACAGUAACAAGUACUUGGACCCUAAUGACUUUGGCGCUGUCAGGGUGGGCAGAGCAGUUGCUACGACGGCUGUCAUCAGUUACGACUACCUCACUUCCCUGAAGAGUGUCCCUUAUGGCUCAGAGGAGUACUUGCAGCUGAGAUCUAAGGUGCACCUUCGCUCUGCCAGGCGUCUCUGUGAGCUCUGCUGUGCCAACCGGGGCACCUUCAUCAAGGUGGGCCAGCACCUGGGGGCUCUGGACUACCUGUUGCCAGAGGAGUACACCAGCACGCUGAAGGUACUGCACAGCCAGGCUCCACAGAGCAGCAUGCAAGAGAUCCGCCAGGUCAUCCGAGAAGAUCUGGGCAAGGAGAUCCAUGAUUUGUUCCAGAGCUUCGAUGACACCCCUCUGGGGACGGCCUCCCUGGCCCAGGUCCACAAGGCAGUGCUGCAUGAUGGGCGGACGGUGGCCGUGAAGGUCCAGCACCCAAAGGUGCGGGCUCAGAGCUCGAAGGACAUUCUCCUGAUGGAGGUGCUCGUUCUGGCUGUGAAGCAGCUGUUCCCAGAGUUUGAGUUUAUGUGGCUUGUGGAUGAAGCCAAGAAGAACCUGCCUUUGGAGCUGGAUUUCCUCAAUGAAGGGAGGAAUGCUGAGAAGGUGUCCCAGAUGCUCAGGCAUUUUGACUUCUUGAAGGUCCCCCGAAUCCACUGGGACCUGUCCACGGAGCGGGUCCUCCUGAUGGAGUUUGUGGAUGGCGGGCAGGUCAAUGACAGAGACUACAUGGAGAGGAACAAGAUCGACGUCAAUGAGGUGAGGUCAAGAGCUCAGGGCUGCUGUGCCGGGGAACGUGGGCUUGGUCAAGGCUGCCCAGGAAGUGCCUGUGUGUCCAGGUGAGGCCUCAGAGUCUGGCCCCCUUGUCUUUAAUAGGGCCCAUUGUCUGGAGAAUUAUAAACUUUGAGCAAGAAAGAUUCUUUCAGGUCAUUUAGGCCAGCCCUGUGCACACAGCGGCCUGCAGGGACAUGCUGAACCCCUUCUGCCAUUACCUGCUUUUCCUUUGUACCAUCUGAGCCCCACAAAGCUAAGCGGCCACAGAGAACAAUGAUGCAAAAUCAGUGGGACUUAAUCCUUUUGGCUCUGUGGGGCCUGUCUGUUGUCUCUUCCCUCUUCCUGCCCUUCUCUCUCCUUCCCACUUCCCAGAUCUCAAGGGAUCAGGCAAAAAGGGGACAGCAGCAACCAACUGCAUCAGCCUCCUAGAGCAGGAAAAAAGAGAUCUCACGCCACCUGGGCAAGAUGUAUAGUGAGAUGAUCUUCGUCAAUGGCUUCGUGCACUGCGAUCCCCACCCCGGCAAUGUACUGGUGCGGAAGCACCCCGGCACGGGAAAGGCGGAGAUUGUCCUGUUGGACCAUGGGCUUUACCAGAUGCUCACGGAAGAAUUCCGCCUGAAUUACUGCCACCUCUGGCAGUCUCUGAUCUGGACUGACAUGAAGAGAGUGAAGGAGUACAGCCAGCGACUGGGAGCCGGGGAUCUCUACCCCUUGUUUGCCUGCAUGCUGACGGCGCGAUCGUGGGACUCGGUCAACAGAGGCAUCAGCCAAGCUCCCGUCACUGCCACUGAGGACUUAGAGAUUCGCAACAACGCGGCCAACUACCUCCCCCAGAUCAGCCAUCUCCUCAACCACGUGCCGCGCCAGAUGCUGCUCAUCUUGAAGACCAACGACCUGCUGCGUGGCAUUGAGGCCGCCCUGGGCACCCGCGCCAGCGCCAGCUCCUUUCUCAACAUGUCACGUUGCUGCAUCAGAGCGCUAGCUGAGCACAAGAAGAAGAAUACCUGUUCAUUCUUCAGAAGGACCCAGAUCUCUUUCAGCGAGGCCUUCAACUUAUGGCAGAUCAACCUCCAUGAGCUCAUCCUGCGUGUGAAGGGGUUGAAGCUGGCUGACCGGGUCUUGGCCCUAAUAUGCUGGCUGUUCCCUGCUCCACUCUGAGUGGAAUUGCUCUCCCUGCCCCAUUCUGGUGUCUUUCCACUCCUCAGCCCCUCAUCUUGCCUCCACCCAGCUGCUCCAUUUUUGCCACAUCGUGGCCCGCAGCCCCAGAGUCACUGUCCAUGUCACCAUCCUUCUCCUCCUUUGGAAUCCUCUCCGCACACUGUGGCCCUUGUCUCAGGGCCCACAAGCUGAACUGUGGCAUAGCUCUCUCUUCUUCUCCAAGAAGACUCAGCAGCCUACAUUCCCAUUCCUGGUAUGUGCCAUUGGGUUGGAUGUCCCCACUACUUCCGUUAACCCUUCCCAUUGUCAAGAUGUGCCACGGGUGCCACUGGGGGCACACUGAACUUGUAGGGAGUGUGAUUUUGUUGGAGGUGCACAUGGUCUCUGAAUUUGACAGAGAACACCUUCCCUUUCCUUGCCAUGUCACCCUCCAGAGGAAGUCACACCUCAGCGAGGUGGUUUGGCAUCUGGGGCCAACUCCAUUACAGCUAUGAGCUCACUGCUGUCAGUGACGUUUGGUGUUUUCUGUACUGUGUUUCAAUAAAAACUCCUUCAAGGUUGCAGGAUUUGUCCAUCAUAACUCACUGGCCUCCCACCUGACCCCAGGCACGUGCCCUUCCAGAAUGUGCUCAUGGUCCUCGCCAAGGGCUUAUGGUUCCUCUUGGUUGCUGCUUCCUCAGGGUUUCCCAGGGAGAUCUAGGGAACAGAAGGCCAGGGGCUGUUUGGUGGGAUUUUCCUUAUAGGUUGGGAGUUCACCUACAAUGCCCAUUAGGUCAGAGUGGACCUGAAUCGAGUAUUGGUGUGAUCUUCUGCUUGGCUUCUUGCUCCUGUAAUCCUUCCAACCUGUGGGGCCACUUCCACUAUGGGGCCACUUCCUGCUUCUUGGGGGUUUCUCUUACCUUCCAAGACUCAGACUCUGGUUGGAGGAGUUAAGAAGCCCAAGGCCAGGAACUCAGAGGCUCAGCUGAAACCUUGGACCUUGUUUUUCUGUGACCUGGGUACCAACCUUGUUCUACUGUUUCCUGACUUAUCCCUUUGGUUCUCAUUCAGUGGCCCCAGUUUUAGGCCUGGAAUUCUACUUGUCUCCCCCCAGUCCUUCUGGAGACCUUAGUCCUCUUGCUGAAACCUCCGUCACUGUGGCUGGGUUUUCACUGGGAAACUUCUGUGUUUCUACCCCAUUGCUUGCUGCCAGCACUGCCUCUCCCCCCAGCCUGGUUGUCUGCUUCUGUUUCUUGGACAUCCCUAAGCUCCUGCUCUAAUUCCCAUGUCUUUGUCUUUGGCAGGUCCUACUGUCUGCUUUCACGGACAGUAAUUGUAUUUGAGCCUCUCUGAUCUUACUUCACCCAAUUCACAAGGGCAGAAAAAAUCCUGAAUUUGAGCCUAAUUUUCUGUACUCUUUAUUCAUAGUACAGCAAGCAGAUUUUUCAGUGAUCAGUGACAAUUCACAAUCCUUUUAUUUCCCAAAAGAAUUAAUUGUUCUUAGUGACCAGUUGGAUGCACCCAGGGACCUGAGAGUAUAAUUUGCAAUAUCUGAUUAUUAAUCUUGAGGAUGUGUGCUGCAUAGUAUAUUUUAUGGUGUCUUUUAUAGCCACUGAAGUAAAUAUAAAUGUCCUUUCUGUUCAA